rnacentral:tRNA from 1 species
UGGGGCGUCGUCUAACGGCAGGACACCGGGUUUUGGUCCCGGUAGUGGGGGUUCAAGUCCUCCCGCCCCAGCCA